ACCUUUAGCUCAGUUGGUUAGAGCAGACGGCUCAUAACCGUCCGGUCGUAGGUUCGAGUCCUACAAGGUCCA
rnacentral:tRNA from 1 species